ACACAUGCAGUCGGACGGUAGCACAGAGAGCUUGCUCUUGGGUGACGAGUGGCGGACGGGUGAGUAAUGUCUGGGGAUCUGCCCGAUAGAGGGGGAUAACCACUGGAAACGGUGGCUAAUACCGCAUAACGUCGCAAGACCAAAGAGGGGGACCUUCGGGCCUCUCACUAUCGGAUGAACCCAGAUGGGAUUAGCUAGUAGGCGGGGUAAUGGCCCACCUAGGCGACGAUCCCUAGCUGGUCUGAGAGGAUGACCAGCCACACUGGAACUGAGACACGGUCCAGACUCCUACGGGAGGCAGCAGUGGGGAAUAUUGCACAAUGGGCGCAAGCCUGAUGCAGCCAUGCCGCGUGUAUGAAGAAGGCCUUCGGGUUGUAAAGUACUUUCAGCGGGGAGGAAGGCGGUGAGGUUAAUAACCUCGCCGAUUGACGUUACCCGCAGAAGAAGCACCGGCUAACUCCGUGCCAGCAGCCGCGGUAAUACGGAGGGUGCAAGCGUUAAUCGGAAUUACUGGGCGUAAAGCGCACGCAGGCGGUCUGUUAAGUCAGAUGUGAAAUCCCCGGGCUUAACCUGGGAACUGCAUUUGAAACUGGCAGGCUUGAGUCUCGUAGAGGGGGGUAGAAUUCCAGGUGUAGCGGUGAAAUGCGUAGAGAUCUGGAGGAUACCGGUGGCGAAGGCGGCCUCCUUGGACGAAGACUGACGCUCAGGUGCUGAAGCGUGGGGGAGCAAACAGAUAGAUACCCUGGUAGUCCACGCCGUAACGAUGUCGACUUGGAAGGUUGUCUCCUUGAGAGUUGCUUUCCGAGCUACGCGUAGUCGACCGCCUGGGGAGUACGGUCUGCAGUAACUCUAAUGAUGACGGGUCUGCUCA
rnacentral:rRNA from 1 species